AUAAUAGUAAAAUCUGCUCAAUGAAUUAUUAAAUAGCCGCAAUUCGUGCUAAGGUAGCAUAAUCAUUUGUUCUUUAAAUGAGAACUAGAACAAAAGAUUUAACAUUUUAACUAUUUUAUUAUAUUAAUCUUUUAAAAUUACUACUAAUGUAAAAAAUCAUUUAUACAAUAGAAAGACGAUAAGACCCUAUUGAACUUAACUUAAGUUAAACUGGGGCAGUUAAUUAAUUAUUAUUUUAAUCUAAAUUUAUAAACAAUUAUCUUGAAAAUUAAAUAAUUCAGUUACCAUAGGGAUAACAGCGCAAUUAUAUUUUAGAGACCUUAUCUAAAAAUAAAAUUACGACCUCGAUGUUGAAUUAAUUACCUAAUUUAAGAAAAAUUAAGAAAAGGAAGUCUGUUCGACUUUUAAAAAAUUACAUGAUUUGAGUUCAGACCGGUGUAAGCCAGGUCGGUUUCUAUCUUCUCAUAAUUUCUUACAGUACGAAAGGACCUAAGAAUAUUUAUAUUUAAUAAAUUGGCAGAAAAAUGCAUUAGAAUUAGAAUCUAAAUAAAAUAAA
rnacentral:rRNA from 1 species